GUUCAUAUUGUUUUUGUUUUGCAAUGCGUCACUCCAUAGAAAUGUACUGUCAGAGCUGGUGAAAUGAAGCAGAAUUCUGAAGAUUUUAAUGCCUCUGAACACCUCCCUCAGAGUUAUGACGUAAAAUGUUUACGGAUGCACUGCUUUCAUGGCAGUUUUGACCUGAACAUAUAAUGGUGUCGGAGUUGUAUUCUGUUUAGUAGGAAGGGACUCUUAUUGUGAAGGGCGGGGCUACUGAAGGCUAGUGAGCGUGAGAGAGCCAACAACAGGACCAAUGAGCUAGGCUGAGGGUGACCUUCUCCUCCUGUGUUCUGUUUGCUGUACCAGUUCUAAAUGAAGCCACAUUGUGGACUUUGAGCUGUCCAUGGACAGGUAGAUGAGACAAGAGGUCGGUUCAAGGCUUCGGUGGAGCGUCAGAUAAAGGAGGAGGAAAUCUACAAGAACAGAAUUAAAGAACUGAAACUGUCCCUCGGUAAGAAACACCUUUCUACCAGAUGUACAGCCGACCAACAAGAAUAAGUCCUGCAACCUCUCCAUACACAUCAUAUGGAGGAAUCUACAUAUAAGACAGACAACACUCCUGCUCUGGUUGUGUGUGUUGAGUUUUGUGUUUCUUUCACUCACCGUUAGUGUGCGAGGUGAAGGGUCAGUGUCUUUACAGCACAGAAUCAGGCACCAGCAGACGGUCACCGGAUUCUUGUUUUCCGUUCAACGGCAGCAGAUGUUUGCAGCAUCGGACGUCUAAAAAAGCCGGAAAACUUUGCGGAUCUCAGAUCCCACCUUCGUCGCCAGAACACAAGUAUAUUCCUUCUUCACAAGCAUUCAGAAAUACUGUAAAUAGGUUCAGUUUCAUUAAAGAAAGGCCCGACUUGUCUUGCUGAGUCAGAAAUGUGGCCCUCAGCUGCAUAUUCAGAAAAAAAGGACACACAUAAAUGGGACGGUUUUAAGAAUCUCUAAUUCCACCUCCGGUUAAUGCUGAUAAAAUGGCAGUUUUUAAUGGUAAAAUUAAGAAACGUUCAUAGUGAGAAAGCGAAUAAAAGAGUGACAUUCGGCUCUUCCCUUAUAACCUUAAUGAAAGAUCAUAUAUCUGAAUGCACCCCACAUUAUUCUGGUCCCAGUGUGAAACAUCACAGAACUUAUAGCAUCCUCUACUGCCCAAAAUCAUUCACUGCAUCUCUAUGUAGAAACAGCAGACUGCAUUCAUUGUAUAUUCAUAAGCAACCAUUACAACAUGCAUUUUUACCCGGAAUAAUAAGAAUGUUUUAUCUUAGCCGUGACUUUAUAUAAUGAACUUGUAUUUGCUCUGUAUUUAUUUUAUGUUCUGGCCCUUGUGUUAUUUUUGCAUGUCCUGUAUGUUCUUGUGGAGGCCUACCAAGUUGA